rnacentral:rRNA from 1 species
AGUGAACGCUGGCGGUAGGCCUAACACAUGCAAGUCGAACGGCAGCACAGUAAGAGCUUGCUCUUACGGGUGGCGAGUGGCGGACGGGUGAGGAAUACAUCGGAAUCUACUUUUUCGUGGGGGAUAACGUAGGGAAACUUACGCUAAUACCGCAUACGACCUACGGGUGAAAGCAGGGGAUCUUCGGCCCUUGCGCGAUUGAAUGAGCCGAUGUCGGAUUAGCUAGUUGGCGGGGUAAAGGCCCACCAAGGCGACGAUCCGUAGCUGGUCUGAGAGGAUGGUCAGCCACACUGGAACUGAGACACGGUCCAGACUCCUACGGGAGGCAGCAGUGGGGAAUAUUGGACAAUGGGCGCAAGCCUGAUCCAGCCAUACCGCGUGGGUGAAGAAGGCCUUCGGGUUGUAAAGCCCUUUUGUUGGGAAAGAAAAGCAGCAGGUUAAUACCCCGCUGUUCUGACGGUACCCAAAGAAUAAGCACCGGCUAACUUCGUG